rnacentral:rRNA from 1 species
AUGCGAUAAGUAAUGUGAAUUGCAGAAUUCAGUGAAUCAUCGAAUCUUCGAACGCACCUUGCACCCUUUGGUAUUCCGAAGGGUACGCCCGUUUGAGUGUCAUUGUAAUCUCACCCCCGAAAUCUUUUUUUUGGGAGUGGACUUGGACGCUGCCGUGUCACGGCUCGUCUCGAACGUCUCAGUGUACCCCGCCGUCGGCGUCAAACAGUGUGAUAAGUAUCUUCACUGGUUAGUCUCUCCGGAGGCGCGCUCUCGGAUUGGUGGUGUGCUGCCAACCGUCCUCGGACAAUACUCUGACAAUUUGACCUCAAAUCGGGUGGGACUACCCGCUGAACUUAA